rnacentral:lncRNA from 1 species
GGUGCCUGGCGGCUUCCGCAGCCUGGAGGAGAGGCGGCUCGCUCCGGCCAUCUUCGGCUCGGCAGAGCUAAGUUUGGAAUCUGUACCCUGGAGGGG